rnacentral:rRNA from 1 species
GCUUGUCUCAAAGAUUAAGCCAUGCAUGUCUAAGUGUAAAUAAGUCUAUACUGUGAAACUGCGAAUGGCUCAUUAAAUCAGUUAUCGUUUAUUUGAUGAUCUCUUACUACUUGGAUAACCGUAGUAAUUCUAGAGCUAAUACAUGCACAAAAUCCCGACUUACGAAGGGAUGUAUUUAUUAGAUACAACCAACCCCUCGCGGGUUUAGGUGAUUCAUAAUAACCGAACGAACCGCGUUCAGCGGUGAUUCUUUCUACAUUAUUCCCUAUCAGCUUUCGUUUUUUGUGUAGUGGACAAAAAAGGCUUUGACGGGUAACGGAGAAUUAGGGUUCGAUUCCGGAGAGGGAGCCUGAGAGAUGGCUACCACAUCCAAGGAAGGCAGCAGG